rnacentral:rRNA from 1 species
AGGACGAACGCUGGCGGCGUGCUUAACACAUGCAAGUCAAGGGGGCCCAGCAAUGGGCAACCGGCGAACGGGUGCGUAACACGUGAGCAACCUACCGAAAUGUGGGGGAUAGCCGGCCUAACGGCCGAGUAAUACCGCAUACGCUCUCGAUGAGGCAUUUCAUUGAGAGGAAACCUACGGGACAUUUCGAGGGGCUCGCGGCCUAUCAGCUAGUUGGCGAGGUAACGCUCACCAAGGCAACGACGGGUAGCUGGUCU